rnacentral:rRNA from 1 species
UACGGGGGGAGCAAGCGUUGUUCGGAUUUACUGGGCGUAAAGGGCGCGUAGGCGGUCUCUUAAGCGUGUGGUGAAAGCCCGGGGCUCAACUCCGGGUCGGCCGUGCGAACUGGGGGACUGGAGCUUGUCAGAGGCAGGCGGAAUUCCGGGUGUAGCGGUGGAAUGCGUAGAGAUCCGGAAGAACACCGGUGGCGAAGGCGGCCUGCUGGGACAGUGCUGACGCUGAGGCGCGACAGCGUGGGGAGCAAACAGG